GGUUCUUAACAUGAGAAUCGUAGGUCACAAAACAUUGAUGCCAUUUCAGAAAGGUUUAUUAAUUUCUGUGCGAUCUGUAAUUGGUCUACACAAUUAUCUUCAGAAAAAUAACUCACUGAAAUACAUCAUAACUUGUCGCUUAAACCAGGACUUACUUGAAAGUUUUUUUUCGCGCCUCAGAAGCAUCGGCGGUACUUACGAUAACCCUACACCAACAGAUUUCAAGUACAGGUUCAGACAAAUGUUACUAGGAUCUGAACUUCCUCUGCCACAAGGCGCAUGUGUUGAAGACGAUAGUUUGAAGCAAAAACCAUAUCUGACCAGCCAGAUGUUCACCGAAUUGAAUUUAAACAUUCCAGAAAACAAGAACGAAGAAAACGAGGCGGUUCAAGAUGAUUUGUUCACGCCCUUGACUACGUCAUGGGAAGAGAAUGAAGCAUUAAGAUAUGUAGCUGGAUAUUUGAUUCAUGCAAGCGAGGACGCUAAUCUAAAAAGUAUUGAAGAAACAGAAAACAAAGAUGGAUGGAUAGAAAUACUGAGUCGCGGAAAAUUGACUGUCCCGUCAUCAAAAUUUGUGAAAACUGUACAGCAUGCUGAAGAAAUAUUUAAAACACAUCACGGGUUAGGAUUACAGAACGGAAAAGGUGUUGUGCGAAACUUUUUCGUGAAACUAGUAGAACAUUUUCCAGAUGUUAACAAAAAAGUUUUAAUGAAGUUUGCAAGAACCAGAACUUUUAUUAGACUUCGGCAUUUAAAUCGUCAAGCAAAAAUUGCAAGCACGGAAAAGAAAAGGCAGAAGAAGCUUGCACAGCUUGUUCAGAAAACCAGAAAUUAAGCUGAGAGCUCAGCUGGCCGGUUCCUGCGCCGCAGUGACGUCACGAGCAGCCCUUGGAAGUACCGUUACUCAAACCGGCCCUCUCGGGCCAACCUCCUUCUCUACCA